UACGUAGGGUGCAAGCGUUAAUCGGAAUUACUGGGCGUAAAGCGUGCGCAGGCGGCCUAUUAAGUCAGAUGUGAAAUCCCCGAGCUCAACUUGGGAACUGCAUUUGAAACUGAUAGGCUAGAGUGUGUCAGAGGGAGGUAGAAUUCCACGUGUAGCAGUGAAAUGCGUAGAGAUGUGGAGGAAUACCAGUGGCGAAGGCGGCCUCCUGGGAUAACACUGACGCUCAUGUACGAAAGCGUGGGGAGCAAACAGG
rnacentral:rRNA from 1 species